UAGAAAAGAGCAAGUAACAGGAGACAG
rnacentral:piRNA from 1 species